UUUAUGGAGAGUUUGAUCCUGGCUCAGAGUGAACGCUGGCGGCGUGCCUAAUACAUGCAAGUCGAACGAUGAAGCUUCUAGCUUGCUAGAAGUGGAUUAGUGGCGCACGGGUGAGUAACGCAUAGGUCAUGUGCCUCUUAGUUUGGGAUAGCCAUUGGAAACGAUGAUUAAUACCAGAUACUCCCUACGGGGGAAAGAUUUAUCGCUAAGAGAUCAGCCUAUGUCCUAUCAGCUUGUUGGUAAGGUAAUGGCUUACCAAGGCUAUGACGGGUAUCCGGCCUGAGAGGGUGAACGGACACACUGGAACUGAGACACGGUCCAGACUCCUACGGGAGGCAGCAGUAGGGAAUAUUGCUCAAUGGGGGAAACCCUGAAGCAGCAACGCCGCGUGGAGGAUGAAGGUUUUAGGAUUGUAAACUCCUUUUGUUAGAGAAGAUAAUGACGGUAUCUAACGAAUAAGCACCGGCUAACUCCGUGCCAGCAGCCGCGGUAAUACGGAGGGUGCAAGCGUUACUCGGAAUCACUGGGCGUAAAGAGCGCGUAGGCGGGAUAGUCAGUCAGGUGUGAAAUCCUAUGGCUUAACCAUAGAACUGCAUUUGAAACUACUAUUCUAGAGUGUGGGAGAGGUAGGUGGAAUUCUUGGUGUAGGGGUAAAAUCCGUAGAGAUCAAGAGGAAUACUCAUUGCGAAGGCGACCUGCUGGAACAUUACUGACGCUGAUUGCGCGAAAGCGUGGGGAGCAAACAGGAUUAGAUACCCUGGUAGUCCACGCCCUAAACGAUGGAUGCUAGUUGUUGGAGGGCUUAGUCUCUCCAGUAAUGCAGCUAACGCAUUAAGCAUCCCGCCUGGGGAGUACGGUCGCAAGAUUAAAACUCAAAGGAAUAGACGGGGACCCGCACAAGCGGUGGAGCAUGUGGUUUAAUUCGAGGAUACACGAAGAACCUUACCUAGGCUUGACAUUGAGAGAAUCCGCUAGAAAUAGUGGAGUGUCUGGCUUGCCAGACCUUGAAAACAGGUGCUGCACGGCUGUCGUCAGCUCGUGUCGUGAGAUGUUGGGUUAAGUCCCGCAACGAGCGCAACCCCCUUUCUUAGUUGCUAACAGGUCAUGCUGAGAACUCUAAGGAUACUGCCUCCGUAAGGAGGAGGAAGGUGGGGACGACGUCAAGUCAUCAUGGCCCUUACGCCUAGGGCUACACACGUGCUACAAUGGGGUGCACAAAGAGAAGCAAUACUGCGAAGUGGAGCCAAUCUUCAAAACGCCUCUCAGUUCGGAUUGUAGGCUGCAACUCGCCUGCAUGAAGCUGGAAUCGCUAGUAAUCGCAAAUCAGCCAUGUUGCGGUGAAUACGUUCCCGGGUCUUGUACUCACCGCCCGUCACACCAUGGGAGUUGUGUUUGCCUUAAGUCAGGAUGCUAAAUUGGCUACUGCCCACGGCACACACAGCGACUGGGGUGAAGUCGUAACAAGGUAACCGUAGGUGAACCUGCGGUUGGAUCACCUCCUUUCUAGA
rnacentral:rRNA from 1 species